rnacentral:rRNA from 1 species
ACGCUCGACACCUACGGGAGGCAGCAGUGGGGAAUAUUGCACAAUGGGGGAAACCCUGAUGCAGCGACGCCGCGUGGAGGAAGAAGGUCUUCGGAUUGUAAACUCCUGUUGUUGGGGAAAAAGAGGAUGGUACCCAACAAGGAAGUGACGGCUAACUACGUGCCAGCAGCAGCGGUAAUCUGAGCGGGCUGGCAAGGC